rnacentral:rRNA from 1 species
CCAGACUCCUACGGGAGGCAGCAGUGGGGAAUAUUGCACAAUGGGGGGAACCCUGAUGCAGCGACGCCGCGUGAGCGAAGAAGUACCUCGGUAUGUAAAGCUCUAUCAGCAGGGAAGAAGAUGACGGUACCUGACCAAGAAGCUCCGGCUAAAUACGUGCCAGCAGCCGCGGUAAUACGUAUGGUGCAAGCGUUAUCCGGAUUUACUGGGUGUAAAGGGGGCGCAGACGGCAGCGCAAGCCAGGAGUGAAAGCCCGGGGCCCAACCCCGGGACUGCUCUUGGAACUGCGCGGCUGGAGUGCAGGAGGGGCAGGCGGAAUUCCUGGUGUAGCGGUGAAAUGCGUAGAUAUCAGGAGGAACACCGGUGGCGAAGGCGGCCUGCUGGACUGCGACUGACGUUGAGGCCCGAAAGCGUGGGGAGCAAACAGGAUUAGAUACCCCAGUAA